rnacentral:misc_RNA from 1 species
AAAGUCGUAACAAGGUAACCGUAGGUGAACCUGCGGUUGGAUCAUUACAAAAUGAUGGGUCUUGAAAGCGUGUAAGUUCAGUUUUUAGGUAGAUACUAUUUUGCCUUCUAAUACUACAGCUGAAAACUUUCAAGACUUAAUUAACCCUUUGUGCACAAAAAUGUUUUUUGGGUUGGCUUCAUUAGAGGCGAGCCCAGCAUAUUAUGUCUGCGAGUCACGCAAGUGUUUAGCAGGCAUAAAUAAACACCUUUUUUAAUUUGACUGAAUUUUUUUGAAAUAUAAAAAAUAACAACUUUUGACAACGGAUCUCUUGGCUCUC